UUGUUUUCCCUAUCAUGUAUGGGUUUUAUUUUUACCUUGUUUUUUUCAACGUCGUCCACUUGGUGGCGGUAAUACAUAUUUUGGGGUUGUAUAGCAUGUCCAGAUCAUUCAGAAGAAGCCCAAGCGUUUUCCCAGGCUUUCAAAGGAAAUCAUUCUGAGAUAUGAUGCUAUUAUGCUUCUUUUUUUAUUUUAUUGCUUCUUAUAUUAUUUUAUUUUAUAAUAAUUGCUCAAGGAAAGAACAGGGGUCGUAGACAACAUCUUAUUUAUUUCAGGGAGCGGAAAUGAAAAACGUUGUUCCACUUCCCCUUUAGUCGAUAGGAAAUCAACUUUCACCCGCCACAACGUUGUGUCCGGUUGAAAUUCAAAUCGCUAGCUAGCUAAAAAAUUACAACAAAUGCCGAUUAAACAUCUGGCGACUUUCAUGACAAACGAUAUCUAAUAGAAGUGUAGACAGCACCAGCUACGCAAGGAUUGUACCAAGUGGGAAGCCCUAAGUAGCUCACAAGACCUCCUAGGAAGUGAGCUGGAAGGAAAGAAAGAAGGAGCCAGGUUGCAAGAAAACAGAUGAGCGAAGAAGGGGCAACAAUGUCGGAAGAAGGGGAAGGGGCAACGGCUUCGGAAGAAGGGGAAGGGGCAACGGCUUCGGAAGAAGGGGAAGGGGCAACGGCUUCAGAAGAAGGGGAAGGGGCAACAAUGUCGGAAGAAGGGGAAGGGGCAACGGCUUCAGAAGAAGGGGAAGAGGCAACAAUGUCGGAAGAAGGGGAAGGGGCAACGGCGUCGGAAGAAGGGGAAGGGGCUUCGGGGGAAGGGGCAAUGGCAUCGGAAGAAGGGGCGAUGGAUGCCACUGGUAGUGAAGAGGAGUCCGAUGAAGCCUUGUCUAAUGGCAGCCCCAUACCACCUAAUAGGGGAAGGGGUAGGCCCAAAGGAUCAGGCUCCAAGAAACCUAAGAUACUGAGGGUACUAGACAAGCAGCCACGACGGGGCAGGCCACGUAAAGUGGUUGACCCUAAUGCUGUUUUAGCAGAGACAACUGCACCUUUGAAGCGUGGCCGGCCCAAAAAAGUUGAGCAAAAACUGUCACCCGAGGAGGAAGAGGAGAGAAAGAUACUGAAAAGCCAACCUAAGGGACCUAGAGUGUGGAAGCCGCUCGGAAGGCCGCGCAUCUAUCCCCGCGGGGAUCCCCCCGCCACACCCACCUCUGCCGAGCCACGGAGAAGAGGCCGUCCACUCAAGGCAUCAACAGGUAGAGGUGCCCACUUACGGAAGAACCCGCCUCCAACUUCUAAAGUCUCAAAGCCCCCCGCUAAAGAUGAUUCCCGCGAAAGAGUGGCCGCCCCUUAGGCUCCUUCAAAGCCAAGAGAGCAGCAGAGACGGAUAGGUCCAACAGUUCACCCUCAGCCAAACAGGGUUGCACUGUUUCUCCAAUAGUAAGGCUUUACCGCUGCUCCAACGGUAAAGCAAAUGUGUUCGAUGAAGCUGCCUUCCAAGCCCAGAGGCAAAAAAGGCAGGAGAAAGACUGUGAACGUUGAUUAUACAGCUUAUGAUUCAGAGGAGGAAAAUGAAGAUACACAGAGAAAUGAGGAUGAAGUCUUUUCUCUAGUAGAAGAUGACGAAGAAGAGGAAAUUAAACCACGCGAUGGUCAUGGCAAGGUUAGUAACCCUGGUAAGGUAGUGGCAGCUAUUAAGAAAAAAGAAGGGGUUGUUCCUGAGAGGGGGGGGCAGAAAACCUGGCUCAAUCAAAAAGGUUGUAAAGUAAAAGGAACCUGGGCGGAGCAGACUGAACGAGUAUCAAGAGCAUCUUGUAAGAUGUUUUUUAAACAUUUUAUUAUCUCUUACCCAACUCUUUCUUGUUUUCUCAACUAACCUAUGUGUCUGUUUGCUCUUGCUGUUAUUUUUUAUGCUUUGAUGCCUUCGUGGAAACCAUGUGGAAAAAACAAGUACUUUUUGUACUUCCUUGGUCAUCCAUAGCUUGAAUGAUGUGAAGACCAUUUCAUUGACCGUUGUUAAUCUUGUAUUGGUCUGUUCAGACUUAUCCCAUUUAGAUUUUUUACUGGUACUGUCAUUGAUACAGUUUCUAAUUCCAUACACAUCCUAUAGUUGAUGAUAUUCUCAUUGAGGUUUGUUAAUCUUGUAUUGGUCUGUGCAGAUUUGUCCAAAUAAGCUCAAAUGGUUUAAAUCAAUUGAAUUAGGUAAGUAUUUUGUUUUUCGUUUUUUCUCUCCUUAAUUAAGCUCUGUAGUUUUCGAAUUGCUAAUGUCUUCUAAUUUUAUUUGCCUUAAUUGCCAAAGCUUUGAAUGUAACAACUUCCCCCUUCCCAGCUAUCUUUGUUUCGAUACAGAUGUUGUUAGUAUCCCUAUCAUGGCACCCUUUUACCUAUAAAGUGCACUACUUUUGACCAAAGCCCCAUGGACCCUGGUCAAAAGUAAUGCACUAUAAGGGGAAUAUGGUGCCGUUUGGGACGGUACCAUAAUCGUAGUUGUUUUCUUUCACUUGGUUCAUUGCAUACUUCACCUUGUGGAGUCAAGACGGUAACUGUAAACUUCCAAUCCAUCAUCCUUAAGAUUUCUCUUAGAAGAUGUAUGGUUAUUGACUAUUGUGAUGGUUUUGUUUGCCAGUAUCAUCCUUGUAAUUCACUCAACAUCACUCCUCACAGUUCUUUUUAAGACUUUUUAUGUCAGCUCUUUUUACUUGUUUUUUAUCACUUGGCUUUCAUCUGAAGUGGAUGCUUGGUUUCACAGACUCUGGGUGAUGUGUGUAAAUGUUCAGAUUGUAUGUUAAACAUGUCUUCAUCUAGCCUGGUAUUUGUUAAUUUAAUUAAUUAUGUGCUGGACCAUGAUAUCAACAGUUCAUACUGCAUUACAACUUUGUAAAUUAUGUAAUAUAAAAAUAGUAAUUGAGGUACACAACAGAAUCUAUCAUUUGUAUGAAUUCAUGUUCCUGUGACCAAAGCUUGUUAGUUUCAUGUUUUCAACUUGGUCUGUUCUUAUGCUAUGUUGCUUGGAUUAAUACAAUGUUCUUCAAGAUGCAGUUAGAACUAUAGAGAUACAUACUGUAAGUUUUACCUAUGUAUUUAUCUCUGUGAUCAGAAACAGGUCUGUGAAACCUCCCCAACGUUCAUUUGAGGGUAAUGUGAAUUUCAGUUUUUUUAGAGAGAGCAAAUAUUUAGAAAGUUUAAUGUAAUAAAGUGAAAUGUCAAACUUUGUUUUUGUUGAUGUUUUUUCAUCUCAAUAAAACCUCAAAUAUGA